GAUGAACGCUAGCUACAGGCUUAACACAUGCAAGUCGCGGGGCAGCAUGGGGGUUGCUUGCAAUCCCUGAUGGCGACCGGCGCACGGGUGAGUAACGCGUAUCCAACCUGCCCUUCACCACGGGAUAACCCGGCGAAAGUCGGACUAAUACCGUAUGUAGUCCAUUGACGGCAUCCGAUUUGGACGAAAGGCUUAGCGGUGAGGGAUGGGGAUGCGUCCGAUUAGCUUGACGGCGGGGUAACGGCCCACCGUGGCGACGAUCGGUAGGGGUUCUGAGAGGAAGGUCCCCCACACUGGAACUGAGACACGGUCCAGACUCCUACGGGAGGCAGCAGUGAGGAAUAUUGGUCAAUGGGCGGAAGCCUGAACCAGCCAAGUAGCGUGCAGGAUGACGGCCCUAUGGGUUGUAAACUGCUUUUAUGCGGGGAUAAAGGAGCCCACGUGUGGGUUUUUGCAGGUACCGCAUGAAUAAGGACCGGCUAAUUCCGUGCCAGCAGCCGCGGUAAUACGGAAGGUCCGGGCGUUAUCCGGAUUUAUUGGGUUUAAAGGGAGCGUAGGCCGCCCCUUAAGCGUGUUGUGAAAUGCGGGUGCUCAACAUCCGACUUGCAGCGCGAACUGGGGGGCUUGAGUGCGCCGAAAGUAGGCGGAAUUCGUGGUGUAGCGGUGAAAUGCUUAGAUAUCACGAAGAACUCCGAUUGCGAAGGCAGCUUACUGUAGCGCAACUGACGCUGAUGCUCGAAAGCGUGGGUAUCGAACAGG
rnacentral:rRNA from 1 species